UCUCGAUAGCGUAAAAGUUAACUCAAAUUUGUUUGGAGUUGGAAGGUUUUCCUACGUUUGCCGCUAGGGGCGCUGGUCCGGCUCCAUACACAAUUGAGUUAACUUUUACGCUAUCGA
rnacentral:pre_miRNA from 9 species